rnacentral:tRNA from 1 species
GGGCGCUUAGCUCAGGAGGAAGAGGGUAUGCCUUACAAGCACAAUGUCGGCGGUUCGAUCCCGUCUGCGCCCACCA